rnacentral:ribozyme from 1 species
GUAAAGUUGUUGUUGGGUUUGAAAGUAAAAGCUGCUUUCCUCAACUAUGAGUGUAGCCCUACAUUUAAAAAUGGAAUAUGUGUCAAACUUUCUAAAAUUAUCACAAGUUUUGAUGCGGACAACGGUUUCUGGCUGGCAUACCACAAUAUUUCA